AACGAACGCUGGCGGCAGGCUUAACACAUGCAAGUCGAGCGCCCCGCAAGGGGAGCGGCAGACGGGUGAGUAACGCGUGGGAAUCUGCCCAUCUCUACGGAAUAACGCAUGGAAACGUGUGCUAAUACCGUAUACGUCCUUCGGGAGAAAGAUUUAUCGGAGAUGGAUGAGCCCGCGUUGGAUUAGCUAGUUGGUGGGGUAAAGGCCUACCAAGGCGACGAUCCAUAGCUGGUCUGAGAGGAUGAUCAGCCACACUGGGACUGAGACACGGCCCAGACUCCUACGGGAGGCAGCAGUGGGGAAUAUUGGACAAUGGGCGCAAGCCUGAUCCAGCCAUGCCGCGUAAGUGAUGAAGGCCCUAGGGUUGUAAAGCUCUUUCACCGGUGAAGAUAAUGACGGUAACCGGAGAAGAAGCCCCGGCUAACUUCGUGCCAGCAGCCGCCGUAACAC
rnacentral:rRNA from 1 species